rnacentral:rRNA from 1 species
AUUGAACGCUGGCGGCAGGCCUAACACAUGCAAGUCGAGCGAGCGGCGGACGGGUGAGUAAUGUCUGGGAAACUGCUUGAGGGAGGGGGAUAACUACUGGAAACGGUAGCUAAUACCGCAUAUCAUCUCAUGUGCCCAGAUGGGAUCAGCUAGUAGGUGGGGUAACGGCUCACCUAGGCGACGAUCCCUAGCUGGUCUGAGAGGGUGACCAGCCACACUGGAACGGAGACACGGUCCAGACUCCUACGGGAGGCAGCAGUGGGGAAUAUGGCACAAUGGGCGAAAGCCUGAUGCAGCCAUGCUGCGUGUGUGAAGAAGGCCUUCGGGUUGUAAAGCACUUUCAGCGGGGAGGCGUUACCCGCAGAAGAAGCACCGGCUAACUCCGUGCCAGCAGCCGCGGUAAUAC